GAGCUGCCUCCCGCCGGGCGCUCUCGUCACUCCGCCCCGAGCCAGCUUCCUCCGCGACGCCAGAAGACGCCUGACUCGCCUGCCCUCGGCCGUCUCUUCAGCACCGGGGUACAGAAGCUGAGAUUUCACACAUUCUCCUUGGAAGGAAGUCACUCUAUGCAGCCUACACUUAAGGAAUGGAGAGUUAUGCUCCAACUCCUGAAGGGCAGAGUAUUUAUGAGGACGUGUCCAUUCCGUGAUGGGAGACAUUGCUGGUGGUGAAGACACACAGCAGCAGCAGAACUUGGAAGCUACUUGGAUGUCUUUCAGUAGGCGAAUGGUGCAUCUGGACAGCAAAGUAUUAUUCAGUGUUAAGAAGAAAUCAGCUACCAAACCAUGAAAAGGUAUGGAGGAAACUCAAAUGCAGCUUACUAAGUGAUAGAAACUAAAAUGGAAAGGCUACUAUGAUGGUUAAUUUUAUGUGUCAACUUGACUUACUU